UACGUAGGGGGCAAGCGUUGUUCGGAAUUACUGGGCGUAAAGGGCGCGUAGGCGGCCUGAUAAGUAGGGGGUGAAAUCCUGCGGCUUAACCGCAGGGCUGCCUUCUAAACUGUCAGGCUUGAGCACAGUAGAGGCAGGUGGAAUUCCCGGUGUAGCGGUGGAAUGCGUAGAGAUCGGGAAGAACAUCAGUGGCGAAGGCGGCCUGCUGGGCUGUUGCUGACGCUGAGGCGCGACAGCGUGGGGAGCAAACAGG
rnacentral:rRNA from 1 species